rnacentral:misc_RNA from 1 species
AAGUAACAAAACUUAGUGUUUGUUGAAUCACAUCUAGGGCAUUUUAAGGCUGUUUCAGGCAUAGGUAUAUUAGCCAUCCGGGCUCGAUCAGCCAUCGAGCCCGGUCUAAUAGAACCUGCACCACCGCCGCCAUGAGGCUGCAGUGGUGCUACUACUGGAGGACCAGGUGGUAGUACUGGCGGCGGUGGUGCAGAUGUAAGUUGU